UACGUGAAACCGUUCAGGGGUAAACGGGAGAAAUCCUGAAUUCGAAGGGGAUUGGAUUCAGUUCUGACCGGUUGUUCAGGCCACCUGGCCCCACCAGAUGGCGCUGGUCGCCCACGGCGAUUCAUUUCGCUUGUGGUGUCGUUCCCGGCGAUCACUCGGUGGGGUGGUGCUUGCUCUGGCACCGGAGGAGUGCACUUCCUCCCUUGUAGAAACGUCGCGACCCGUUGGGUGCCGGUCAAAGGCCCGGGAAGGCAGACCACGUGUCCUGUGGGGUUGACUCACAGGCGUGUGGACUCCCGGUGACCCGGCCGGCUGCUCGACGGUAUGACCAGAGGAGUCGAUCCGCUGAAUGGGAAACACAAUGGUUGUGUAGCGUCCGGCCCGACGCCGACACGAGUGGGAUUUUGGUGUAAACCAGUGGCGACCGUGCGGAUGCACGGUGCUGGUUCCACUUCGUCGUUGGAUCUGUUGGUGUCCUCGGACUGGAUCAGUACUCCCGUCGGCGACGCCCACCUUCGGAUGG
rnacentral:rRNA from 1 species